GACGAACGCUGGCGGCGUGCCUAAUACAUGCAAGUAGAACGCUGAAGGAGGAGCUUGCUUCUCCGGAUGAGUUGCGAACGGGUGAGUAACGCGUAGGUAACCUGCCUGGUAGCGGGGGAUAACUAUUGGAAACGAUAGCUAAUACCGCAUAACAGUAGAUGUUGCAUGACAUUUGCUUAAAAGGUGCAAUUGCAUCACUACCAGAUGGACCUGCGUUGUAUUAGCUAGUUGGUGAGGUAACGGCUCACCGAGGCGACGAUACAUAGCCGACCUGAGAGGGUGAUCGGCCACACUGGGACUGGGACACGGCCCAGACUCCUACGGGAGGCAGCAGUAGGGAAUCUUCGGCAAUAGACGGAAGUCUGAACGAGCAACGCCGCGUGAGUGAAGAAGGUUUUCGGAUCGUAAAGCUCUGUUGUAAGAGAAGAACGAGUGUGAGAGUGGAAAGUUCACACUGUGACGGUAUCUUACCAGAAAGGGACGGCUAACUACGUG
rnacentral:rRNA from 1 species